rnacentral:rRNA from 1 species
UACGUAGGGUGCAAGCGUUAAUCGGAAUUACUGGGCGUAAAGCGUGCGCAGGCGGUUUUGUAAGUCUGUCGUGAAAUCCCCGGGCUCAACCUGGGAAUGGCGAUGGAGACUGCAAGGCUAGAGUUUGGCAGAGGGGGGUAGAAUUCCACGUGUAGCAGUGAAAUGCGUAGAUAUGUGGAGGAACACCGAUGGCGAAGGCAGCCCCCUGGGUCAAGAUUGACGCUCAUGCACGAAAGCGUGGGGAGCAAACAGG